CAGCAGCGGUCUGACAAUGCCAUCCUCCCCGAUCUGCCUGUUCCUCCGGCGCCCGUAGAGCGAACAAAAAUGGCGGACACCGCCGGCCUGCGCGCCUCGCCCGCUCGCUCCACCAUCCGCUUUAUCAGCCUCCGCGACACCCAGACCCCAAACCUCCCCUUCCGCACACGCGCCGCGGUGCCCACCCGCGCGCGCCUCCGCUGCCACCUCUCCCACUCCAUUGACUCCACUCCAACCCCGAGGUCCACCACCUCCGACCCCGACCCCGACCCGGACCCCGAUCCCGAAGAUUCCCUGCGCUUCGCCUUCGCGUGCGGCGGCGCUGGCGCGGGCGGCCGUGUCUACUCCGCCAUCGCGCUCGCCGACGAGCUCCACGCCUCGCUGCCGUCCUCCCGCUCCCUCAUCCUCGGCGCGCCCGCCCCGUCCCUCGAAUCCUCCGCCGCCGCAGCGGCAUCCUACCCGUUCGCGCCCGUGCCGCCGCGCUGCCUCCCGCGCGGGAUCCUCGCCGCGGCACUGCACCUACGCCGCUUCCGCCCGCACGUCCUUGUCGCCACGGGGGGCGCACCCGCGCUGCCAGCCUGCCUGGGCGCGCUGCUCCUCGGCCUCCCCUUCGUGAUCCAGGACCAGGACGCAUCCCCCGCGCCCGCCACCCGCCUCCUUGCCCCCUUUGCCCUCCGCGUCUUCCUCGCCUUCAACGCCCCCGUGCGCCUCCUCCCCAAGCGCAAGUGCGCCGUCUACGGGAACCCCGUCCGCAUGUCCAUCCUCAAGUGCCGGGUGUCCAAGGCCGAGGCGUUGUCGCGCUUCUUCCCGAGGGCAGGGUGGUUGAGUGAACAGGAGGCACAGGUCCUGCUCGUGCUUGGAGGAGCGGAGGGGUCGCCCGAGAUCAAUGUCGCCGUGCUCAAUGUCUACUAUGAGAUGCUCAGGAAGAGGAAGGAUCGGUACAUAAUAUGGCAGACGGGGACGGAGACUUUCUGCGAGAUGGAGAGUCUCGUCAGGGGCCAUCGCCGGCUUUUUCUUACUCCAUUCUUGCAUGAACUGGAAAUGGCAUAUGCUGCUUCUGAUGUUGUAAUUUCUCGAGCUGGUGCAAUGACAUGCACUGAGAUAUUGGCCACUGGGAAACCAUCAAUUCUGGUUGUGUACCUUUUAUCUGGAAAAGGAGGUGGUCUUAUAAACCGUUGCAAUGGUCCAGAGUGCAAACUAUACCCUUGCCAACAAUUCUGGAUCACCACCAAACGAGAAAUGCAUAUAUCAUGGCUGAUAUCAUGGGAGCAAAGGUCAUCACCGAAGAUGAACUUGAUUCUAGCAGUCUGACAUCUGCAAUUGAUGAAAUUUUUGGUGAUGAGAAAUUGAUGGCCGACAUGUCUCAGAAGGCACUAACUGCAGCCCGACCAAAUGCUUCGGCUGAUAUAAUUCGUCACAUCUGUUCCCUGAUUGGUGCACCAUACCCAACAUGAAACUUAUUUAGACACUACAAUUCAUGCCAUGACUACAUUCUGUAUUGUUGGUUGAGACACAGCAGAAUGGCAUCUUGUUCUUGAUGUGGAAAUGAAGAUGUGAUACAUUUCAUAAUUCACUUGAAUGAUGACAAAGUGAUUUGGGCCCAAAAAGAUCGGGAAAUAGUGCCUCAGCUGCUGGAUUUCCUUGCAAAUAUCUUGGAGUGCCACUCUCCUUACGCAAGCUUACAAGGUCCCAAAUACAACCAAUUAUUGACAGAAUUGCAUGUGGUUGGAGUGCAAAUUCUUCAUGUGGUUGGUUGCACGCAACAGGUGUUGGACAGCCGAUGGACUUAACAGAAGGGGUCUCCCACAUCCGGAACGCUGCCCUCUUUGCGACCAAAUGGAUGAAACAAUUUAUCACUUGCUCGUUUCUUGCGUCUUCACCCGGCAAGUUUGGUUCAGGUUGCUACAAAGUGUGGGCUUGCAGAUUCUAGCCCCGCAACCUGACGAAACUUCCUUUGAUGAUUGGUGGGAAAAGGUGAGUGAGAGAGUAUCAGGACAGGUCAGAAAAGGGCUAAAUUCUGUCAUCAUUCUAGGGGCAUGGUCAGUUUGGAACCAUCACAACCGUUGUGUAUUCGAUGGAGGUCCACCUUACUUGAAUGGAGUUUCUAAUGUGAUCAGAGAGGAGCUGCGUUUAUGGAAUUUAGCCGGGGCUCGAGGAAUUUCUUAUCUCCUCGUCCUAGUGCCCUCACAAGAGCAGUUGGAGUCCUUGGUCUAGUUUUAGGUCUUGGUGCUUUAGAAAAAGGCUUAUAUUUCUGAUAGUAUAGGGGAUUUUUGUACAGGUUUACCCAAAACAAAAACCUGUGCUGUACUUUUGGGUUUCUUUACACCUUUUCUCUUCUUAAUAUAUUGAUACGCAGCUCUACUGCGUGUUUGAGAAAAAAAGAGUAUAAAUAUGGAAAGGUGGUAUUUUUUGAAGUA